ensembl:snRNA U6 U6 spliceosomal RNA
GAUUUUUUCUUUUUAAUUUUAAAAGUACAAGUCGAUGAAACAGAGAUUAGCAUGGCCCCUGUGCAAGGAUGACACACAAAUUGGUGAAGCGUUCCAUAUUAAA